UUGGUAAAAGAUUAACAGAAAUUAGUAUAAACUCAGAAACAAUAAGAUGUUGAAGAUUCACAUCUCUACGAUUUAGAUUUAACAAAAGGAUUGGUCAUAAAACCAUCUCUGGCAAAUCUUUGAUGGCGAUAAGUUAUCGCCGAUAACACCUAUUCUCUCUUCUUCUUCGUUUUGUUUGAGAGAGAGAGAAAAUAAAAAAAUUCAAAAGUGAAAAUAUAGGAAAAUAAAAAGUCAAUUAGCAUGACACGCGGGGUAACAGGUCUCGUUAGGUAAGGCAUAAUUAACCUCGGUCUCUUAGCUGUGGUUCUUAACUCAUGAUUUGGUUUUUUUCUUUUUACACUUUUCGGGUAAGAGACGACUUUUAGAGCAUGAUUAUUAGAGGGUUCUUAGGGUGAGGUUCUUAGCGGAAUAUAAGAACCCGUCUCUUAACUUUUAACUAAAAAAGGUAAGAACC
rnacentral:lncRNA from 1 species